UAAGGAAUAUUGGUCAAUGGACGCAAGUCUGAACCAGCCAUGCCGCGUGAAGGAUGAAGGUCCUCUGGAUUGUAAACUUCUUUUAUAUGGGACGAAACCUCUUAUUCUUAAGAGACUGACGGUACCAUAGGAAUAAGCACCGGCUAACUCCGUGCCAGCAGCCGCGGUAAUACGGAGGGUGCAAGCGUUAUCCGGAUUCACUGGGUUUAAAGGGUGCGUAGGAGGGCAGGUAAGUCAGUGGUGAAAUCCUAGAGCUUAACUCUAGAACUGCCGUUGAUACUAUCUGUCUUGAAUAUUGUGGAGGUGAGCGGAAUAUGUCAUGUAGCGGUGAAAUGCUUAGAUAUGACAUAGAACACCAAUUGCGAAGGCAGCUCGCUACGCAUAUAUUGACUCUGAGGCACGAAAGCGUGGGGAUCAAAC
rnacentral:rRNA from 1 species